rnacentral:rRNA from 1 species
AGAGUUCGAUCCUGGCUCAGGAUGAACGCUGGCGGCGCGCCUAACACAUGCAAGUCGAACGGCACCCCUCUCCGGAGGGAAGCGAGUGGCGAACGGCUGAGUAACACGUGGAGAACCUGCCCCCUCCCCCGGGAUAGCCGCCCGAAAGGACGGGUAAUACCGGAUACCCCCGGGCGCCGCAUGGCGCCCGGGCUAAAGCCCCGACGGGAGGGGAUGGCUCCGCGGCCCAUCAGGUAGACGGCGGGGUGACGGCCCACCGUGCCGACAACGGGUAGCCGGGUUGAGAGACCGACCGGCCAGAUUGGGACUGAGACACGGCCCAGACUCCUACGGGAGGCAGCAGUGGGGAAUCUUGCGCAAUGGGGGCAACCCUGACGCAGCGACGCCGCGUGCGGGACGGAGGCCUUCGGGUCGUAAACCGCUUUCAGCAGGGAAGAGUCAAGACUGUACCUGCAGAAGAAGCCCCGGCUAACUACGUGCCAGCAGCCGCGGUAAUACGUAGGGGGCGAGCGUUAUCCGGAUUCAUUGGGCGUAAAGCGCGCGUAGGCGGCCCGGCAGGCCGGGGGUCGAAGCGGGGGGCUCAACCCCCCGAAGCCCCCGGAACCUCCGCGGCUUGGGUCCGGUAGGGGAGGGUGGAACACCCGGUGUAGCGGUGGAAUGCGCAGAUAUCGGGUGGAACACCGGUGGCGAAGGCGGCCCUCUGGGCCGAGACCGACGCUGAGGCGCGAAAGCUGGGGGAGCGAACAGGAUUAGAUACCCUGGUAGUCCCAGCCGUAAACGAUGGACGCUAGGUGUGGGGGGACGAUCCCCCCGUGCCGCAGCCAACGCAUUAAGCGUCCCGCCUGGGGAGUACGGCCGCAAGGCUAAAACUCAAAGGAAUUGACGGGGGCCCGCACAAGCAGCGGAGCAUGUGGCUUAAUUCGAAGCAACGCGAAGAACCUUACCAGGGCUUGACAU